rnacentral:rRNA from 1 species
GACGAACGCUGGCGGCGUGCUUAACACAUGCAAGUCGAACGAAGUGGCGAACGGGUGAGUAACGCGUAAUCAACCUGCCCUUCAGAGGGGGACAACAGUUGGAAACGACUGCUAAUACCGCAUACUGAAGGAGGGGAUUGCGUCUUAUUAGCUAGUUGGAGGGGUAACGGCCCACAAAGGCGAGGAUAAGUAGCCUGGUGUAAAGGGUGAACGGCAACAUUGGGACUGGGACACGGCCCAGACUCCUACGGGAGGAAGCAGUUGGGAAUCUUCCGCAAUGGACGAAAGUCUGACGGAGCAACGCCGCGUGAAUGAUGACGGCCUUCGGGUUGUAAAGCUCUGUUAAGCGGGACGCGGUACCGGAAUAGAAAGCCACGGCUAACUACGUGCCAGCAGCCGCGGUAAUUC